AAAAAAAAAAAAAGUAUGGAUAACACAAUCCUAAAACGAAGGGCAGUCCUCCCAAUUAACCAAUUAACGUAGAUAAAAGACUCAUUACACUGACCUUCAUUGAAAAAAUGGCUAUCAUGAAAUGACACUAUUUGAGGACAAGCAUUUGGGAAGAACUGGUACCAGUGUAAACAGAUUUCCAAGGACAAACACCCAGGGAAUGCUCAUCUUUAAGUGCUCAUCAGAGAAGAGUCUACCAAAGAGACUUAAAAGCAGUAAAUGGAGAAUUAGAAAGUAAAUCUAGGGAAGUAUGACAUCCUAAAGCCAGAAAAAUGUUUCAAGAAGCAUGCAGUCAACAAUUCAGAUGUCACUGAAAGCCAACAGACAUAUUAACAGAGAGUCUGCUGAUAUCCUAACAGGACCUUGCCUCCCCAGGGCUCCCCAAGCAAGUGCAUUGCAAUCCCAGUGCCCAGGAGAGACAAUUGGAUUGGCCCAGCUGGGUCCUCUCCUGGUCCAAUCAACCACAGAUGGGGGCUGAAUCAUGCGAUGCCAACAUGGCAGCUCCCAAAGACAUUGGAUUGGCCCAGCUUGGUCCACUCCUGGUCCAAUCAACCAUGGAUAGGGGCGGGAUCAUGCAGUGCCAACAUGGCAGCUCCCAAAGAAGAGGGGACUGGCCUGUGAAUGGGAUGAGACACCCCCAAUCCCCCGCCCCCAGAUGAUGAAAUUCAGUUAUCCUACUUCCCUCUGCCACAAACUACUUUUGCUCCUUGGUUCUACAACUAAGAGGACACACGCUGCUCCGGUUUGAAUGUCCCCUCCAAGAUUAAGGUUGACAAUCCUGCAUGUGGCAGUAUUGAGGGGUGGUGCCUUUAAGAAGUGCUCAUAAGGGGCUCGCUCUGCUCUCGUGAACAGAUUAAUCCAUUUAUGGAUUAAUGAGUUAUCAUACAAGUGGAACUGAUGUCUUUAUAAGAAGAAGAAGAUGAAUUCAGAUGUAGUUGUCAGCUCCUGUAGUCUCAGCUACUUGGGAGGCUGAGGCAGAAGGAUCUCUAGAGCCCAGGAGUUUGAGGCUACAGUGAGCUAUGAUCACACCACUGCACUCCAACUUGGGUGACAGAGCGAGACUCUGUCUCUUAAAGAAGAGAAGAGGAAAGAGAGACUUGAACUAGCAUGCUCAGCCCCCUCGCCGUGUGAUACCCUGCACUGCCUCAGGAUUCCACCAGCAAGAAGGCCCUUACCAGAUGCAACCCCGUGACCUUGCACUUCUCAGCCUCCAUAACUGUAAGGUAUAAAUUAUUUUUCCUUAUAAAUUACUCAGCUUCAGAUAUUCUAUUAUAAGCAACAAAAAACAAACUUAGACACACCUAGAGGCCCUGCUUGCAGGUUCCCUGAUGCUGGGGAAGCUACCACAACACCUGUUGCACUAAGCAGCCAUCCCAGGACACCACACAUACACAC
rnacentral:lncRNA from 1 species